GACGAACGCUGGCGGCGUGCUUAACACAUGCAAGUCGAACGGACAGGCCCUGCUUUUGCGGCGUGCUCGAGUGCCGCACGGGUGAGUAACACAUGAGUAACCUGCCCUUGACUUUGUGAUAACUUCAGGAAACUGGGGCUCAUAUCGGAUAGGAUCUCCUGCUGCAUGGUGGGGGUUGGAAAGUUUCGGCGGUUGGAGAUGGACUCGCGGCUUAUCAGCUUGUUGGUGGGGUAGUGGCUUCCCAAGGCUGUGAAGGAUAGCCGGCCUGGGAGGGGUGCCGGGCACAAGGGUACUGAGAGACGGACCAGAAGCGUACGGGAGGCAGUGGGGGGGAAUAUUGCGGAACAGGCGGAAGCCAGUGGUAGCAGCGCCGGGUGCGGGAUGGCGGCUUUCGGGUUGUAAACAGCUUUCGACUGUGACGAAGCGUGAGUGACGGUAAUGGGUAAAAAAGCAACGGCUAACUACGUG
rnacentral:rRNA from 1 species